UUUUUUCAUAAUUAACACUAACAAAUCACAACCAACAUAUUUAUAAGGGUUUUAUUCUUGAAGCUGUCAUGAAAUUACUAGUUUUGCUUCUUGUUCAGUGGAAUAAGGAAAUAGAAUAUUUUAACCUUCAUACUCAAACCACAUUUCCUGUUUCUCAAAAGUUAGAUGUGUUUCAUGGUGGCUGGGAGUUAAAGGAAUGCUAAUUUUGGAAAUGAAAGCUACUGGCCUGAUUAAUCUCUCAUGCACAUCAACAUAAAUCUAGAGUAACUCAAGUGAAGUCAGUGGCGUUACACUGCUGUGAAAGUGACACUAGAGGAGAAUCAGGCCUUGUUUUCUGGAGAGUGAGCCAGGUCACUUCUAAAAUAUUGUAAAGAAUGUUCACAAAAUAUAUUAGUAAAAUCUGAAAUGUAACUGAGUCAGCCUCAAGGUGACCUAAUUCCCCGAAAAACUCAUUACUUGCAUAGAACUUGAGUUAUACCUUUAACUGGGCUUACGGGACAAUGAUCCUGUCCUCAGUUAAUUACUGAUGUAUAAAAAUAACUCUGCUGUUGUGCAAACAAUGCGACUGCUACUUACACUGAGCUUGAAGGUGCUGUGCAAAUAUUUCUUAAUUAUUUCUCAGCAGUCACACACCUUGUGAGUAUUACCCUUUAACAUUCUUAUUCUGUAGCUUGGGAAACUGAGAUGAAGAAAAGUUCAGUUUGGUGACUUAUCUGAGACAAUGCAUUAUCAAGGUCACAUGUGCCAAGGCCAUAUCCAAGUCUCAAAGAAAGCCGAGAUUAGAACUCAUACAUUUCUUGUUCCUUGUCCUGUAUUCAGCCCACUUCACAGUACUGCCUUAUAAUUUUUUAGGCCUUUUGCCUGUUAGGAGGAAUUUCCUUGCUUAGGGCAAAAUUCUCCACUUGGAUUUGCACUUGUUCUAUGAAUGCACUGUCCUCAGGAGUCCAAUGCAGAAUAUGCAAUAGCAAUCUGUAAUAUGGAUAAGUAUGGUUAAGAUGAAUUCUUGGAGUUACAAGCAUGGACCAUGUUUGGAAUGAAUGAAUUCAGGGAGGUAUGAAGGUGGUAGCAAUUACAGAGAGGCUGAGGGAAUCCAGGCUUAGAUGGUUUGGUCAUGUAAAAAGAAGAUCUGGAGAAUAUAUAGGAAACAGGUUUUGAACUUAGAAAUGAAGGGUAAGAGAGAGGUUGGAAAACCCAAAACUUGAAUCUUGGAUGGAUGCCAUACAACAGGAUUUGAUAAGCUGCAGGGUUUCUGAGGAACCGCUUUGAGACAGACUGGAAAAGGGAAGGACUUGAAGAGCGGACCCCAUAUGGAUAGUUAAAAGAAGAAUCUGUGGUAUGGGUAAGAAAUCUGCGGGGUGUGUAUGUCCUGGGAAAGGAUUUUUCUCUUAGUUGUUUCUCAGUGGUGAGUUGGAGCCAGUUCGCUAGAACCGGUUGUUAUAUUUAGAAGCCCUUUUAGAACCGGUUGUCCCUCAUGGGACAACCGGUUCUAAAAGGGCUUCUAAAUUUAACAACCGGCCAAAAGUGGCACCUUAGGCAGAGCAGAGGUGAGCUGAGGCAGGGAGGGCGCAAGGAGGUAACUCCGGAGGCGGGGGGGGGAAGCGUGCAGGGGAACCGCUCCCCGCCCCCACUCACCUCCGCCUCCCUGGGCCUGAGCGUGAAGCCACUGCCUGCUUCUCAGCCCUCCCAGGCUUCCCGUGCAAGUAGCUGAUUCGCGGGAAGCCGGGGGAGGGGGCGGAGAAGCAGAGUGGGGCGGCGCGUUCAGGGGUGGAGGCGGAGUGGAGGUGAGCUGGGGCUGGGUGCGGGGCAGGGGAGGGGGGUGGAUGGGGCAGGGGUCGGGGGGCAUCAAGGAACGUGGGGGAUUGGAUGGGGGAGGAGUCCCCAGGAGGUGAGGGUGGGCCACAACGCCCUCGUGGGGUGAGGAGGGAACUGGUUGUUAAGAUUUUGGCAGCUCAUCACUGUUUCUAUAUUGCUGUCACUGCAAUAACCCCAUGUAAAUAUAAACAAAACACAGGCAUUGCCCACUACCUUGCCAUGUGAAAAUGCUCCAGGCAAACUUGCCACAUCUGAGGUGAGCAAACCUGGAGACAUUGAAUAAAGUAGAAAAAAUGUAUUUUCUCUCCCCCUACAUUUUUUAGCUUUGUAAUAUUUAUUCGACAAAUACAUCAAUGAUGUUAAGUUUAACACGUUGCAUUCCCCACACUCCCAAAGCUCCCUUGAAGCUGGAAUUUAGUCUUGGGCAGAGACACUGGGGCUGUCAAAGCAGCCAAAGGGAAUUAGGCACCCAAAUCCUAUUGAAAUUCAGUGGCAGUUGGACUCCAAGUCCUGUGGGCUCCUUUGAAAAUUCCAGUCUCUAUGCCUAUUGUAAGCAAAGCUACAUUAUUUCUUCAUCUCCAAAUAGCUCCAAAACCGUUUGGGAAAUUUAGUCAAUUUCAGAGGUGAUUCUGCAAAAACAUAUAGGUGUGACUAUGCAAGCAGUCCCGGAUCAGGCCCUUAGGUAGUACUGUGGGGAAAUUAAAGGCCUGUAAAAGCUCAGGGCCAAAUUCAGGCUUGUUGUAAGUAGUUUGGUUGCAACUCCAAUGAAUUCAGUCGAGAUGUACCUGCUUACCGUAGAUCUAAAUUUGGCUAAGUCUAGGCUGAUUUGGUUGCAUUGGUUUGAUUUUUCCCACCCUCUUUUUAAUAUAACACAGGAAUUACAUUUAUAGCAACAGACAUGUUAUAAUGUACUGUCCAUCUUAGUAUUGCAAAGUGCUAUGGAAAGGGGUGGGGAGAAGCACUUCCCACACUUUAUAGAUGAGAAAAUAGACAUGGAGAUCUUACACUGAGAUCUACAGGGGCAGGCACCUGGGCAGCACCACGCUGAAGUCAGUGGAACUCCAUGCGGAUGCAGAGGCCCACCUGUGCAGAACACGGGGCAGGAUCAGGACCUUAGUGACUUGCCAAGUGAGAGACUAGAAGGCCAGGAACAGAACCUAAGUCUUCUGAAUCCCUCUGCAAUACUCUAUCCAUGCUGCAACAGAGAGGGCGCUGCCUUGCCGCCAAAGGAUCAAGGAGGUGGCUGACACAGAUAGCAGCAGAGUCUCCUGCACUAGCUUCAAACCAGUGGGGAGUUCUUGUGUGCAGGCGACAUUCUUCACUGGCCUUUUCUGGAUACUUUAAAGCCACUCUGCGCUGUCUACACAGCGACAUUAAGAAAUAACUAACAGACUUGCGAUCAGAUCCCUUCGAAGACCUCCCUUCUGUCAUGUUGCCUAAAUGAAGCUGUGCAGAGACAGCUCUGAACCAGGUGUAGCAAUGUCAGUAUCUAUGAGCAGAUUGCUUGGAGGAUGCAGGAGAAGGGGUACAACUGGGAUCAGCAGCAGAGCCACGUGAAAGCCAAGGAGUUGUGGCAGGCACACUAGGAGGCCAACACAGAGCUGCUGCUCUUACAAAGAGCUGUAUGCCAUACUUGAUGGCUACCCCACACACCACGGUAAAUACCUCCAAGGAGCUUGAAUCACAGGCCUCUGCCGUGAACAACAAGGAGAAGGAGGUGGACAAGGAAGAGGUGUACGGGGGACCGACGAGUGGGGGCCUAGCUGUGCUGAAACCAGGCGCUGUUCUUGACUCCACUGCAGUCCAGCCAGUGUCUGCAGUCGAACCUUGGUAGUUGCAGCUGCUGUGGCCUUGAGAGGGACCCUCCACACCAGUGGAAGGACUGACCCAGAUAAGGAAGAGAAAAGAGAGUACACAGGAGGACAUUUUCUGUGAGAUCCUGCAACCAAAUGCUGCAUCAGACCAUGAGCUGAAGGUCUGGAGGGUCAAUAUUGCUGACUGUGUGGAGAAGAAAAAAGUGGACAGCUGAAAGGCCCAGGAGUCCCAGCAGGAAAAGGAGAGGGAGAUGCAGCAGGACAUAAUGAAGCUUCUCUGGCAGCAAACACAGAUGCUGCAGACUCCCAUUGUGACAAUCCUGGGCUCGACUUCCAAUGCAGUUUGUGGAGAAUUGCAGCAUAGCGCUUUCCUACACCUCCCUCAGCAUUCCACAUGGCCUCAGGACCCACACGCCUACGCCUACCCCUACCACUCCACCCCGGGGGAAAGCAUGGACAGCUACAGCUGCAUGUAUACAUCAGCUGUGGCUCUCACAGGUCAGUGUAUGUUGCUACAAUGGACAUCAGUGUUCCUUCCUCUUGUUUGUUUAUUAAGGUUCCUCAAUUUGUUUAAGUUAAAAUGGAUUUACUUGUAAAUUCUUCAGAUUUUAUUUUUUUUUUUUUGGAGCUGUCUUUGUAAGUAAAUAAAAAUCCUUUGUUUUGAAAGCAAUUAAUCUUUAAUAGUUUACAACACAUGAUGUGUAAAGCCUGCCGCCAGUGAAAGUAGUGGUCUUGUAUUCUCACAACCCAUAGGAUCAGUGCCAAACAGGGUAGUCAUCAUAAAUGUGCACCAAGCACUCCAGCAUUAAUAGGUGUACUGUCGGUGAUACAGGUGUGCAGAAAGCACCACACAAUUCCUGCAGCCCCAGGUUGAGCACAGUACACCACAGAAUGUUACUGUGGCUCACUGUGCUCUUUCAAAGCUUCCCUAAGCCAUGAACUCAUUUGAUAGCCCUUGUGUCCAGCUGUUCGAACUCAGCAGAAAAGCUGCUCCAUGCCAGGGAACAAGUUUUCACCUUUUGCUUCACAAAAUUAUGCAGGACCCAAUAAGCAGCUAUUGCCAUUGGGGUAUUUUUGAACUGAGAAUGACA